UACGAAGGGGGCUAGCGUUGUUCGGAUUUACUGGGCGUAAAGCGCACGUAGGCGGAUCGUUAAGUCGGGGGGUGAAAUCCUGGAGCUCAACUCCAGAACUGCCUUCGAUACUGGCGAUCUUGAGUCCGGAAGAGGUGAGUGGAACUCCUAGUGUAGAGGUGGAAUUCGUAGAUAUUAGGAAGAACACCAGUGGCGAAGGCGGCUCACUGGUCCGGUACUGACGCUGAGGUGCGAAAAGCGUGGGGGAGCAAACAGG
rnacentral:rRNA from 1 species